rnacentral:rRNA from 1 species
GAUGAACGCUCGCUGUGUGCCUAAUACAUGCAUGUUGAACGGGAUGUAGCAAUACAUUCAGUAGCGAAUGGGUGAGUAACACGUACCUAACCUACCUUUAAGACUGGGAUAACUAUUGGAAACAAUAGCUAAUACCGGAUAUAGUUAUUUAUUGCAUGAUGAGUAAUAGAAAGGAGCUUCACAGCUUCACUUAAAAAUGGGGGUGCGGAACAUUAGUUAGUUGGUAGGGUAAUGGCCUACCAAGACGAUGAUGUUUAGCCGGGCCGAGAGGCUGUACGGCCACACUGGGACUGAGAUACGGCCCAGACUCCUACGGGAGGCAGCAGUAAGGAAUUUUCCACAAUGAGCGAAAGCUUGAUGGAGCGACACAGCGUGCAGGAUGAAGUUCUUCGGAAUGUAAACUGCUGUUAUAAGGGAAGAAAAAAUAGAAUAGGAAAUGAUUUUAUCUUGACGGUACCUUAUUAGAAAGCGACGGCAAACUAUGUGCCAGCAGCUGCGGUAAUACAUAGGUCGCAAGCGUUAUCCGGAAUUAUUGGGCGUAAAGCGUCCGUAGGUUUUUUGCUAAGUCUGGAGUUAAAUGCUGAAGCUCAACUUCAGUCCGCUUUGGAUACUGGCAAAAUAGAAUUAUAAAGAGGUUAGCGGAAUUCCUAGUGAAGCGGUGGAAUGCGUAGAUAUUAGGAAGAACACCAAUAGGCGAAGGCAGCUAACUGGUUAUAUAUUGACACUAAGGGACGAAAGCGUGGGGAGCAAACAGG